GUAAGACCAGUCUGAACGAGUGGACCCUAUCGUGUCGCAGAGCUUUUUCAUGCGCAUGUGCAUUUCUUAUUUACCUUUUAUAUUGACGACGUUAUUGUCCAGUUGAAAUAUUAUAGAUCAUUUAGACUACAAAACAACCCGAGGAUUGAAUAUAAACAUCGUUUGACAUAUUUCUAUGAACUUUACGGAUACAAUUUGGAUUUUUUGUCAGAUUGUUUUGAUUGCGUUUGAGCCUGUGGAUUACUGAAGAAAACGAGCUAACAAAAUUGAUGUUUUUGGAUAUAAAGAGACUUCAUCGAACAAAAGGAACAUUUAUUGAGUAAAUGAAUGUCUUCUGAUUGCCUCCAUAUGAAGAUCAUCAAAGGAUUAUCCGCUCCGAUAACCGAGACACCAGACCAGCUUGGCGGCAGAGAGACAAGCCAGCUGAAAUCAGGGCAAAAUAAUUUUCAAACUACAAGAAAUGGACAACAGUUAAAUAUUUCAUAGAUUGCAGUCCUGUUGGCAGCAUCACAUUCCUGACAAAAGUGGUGGAAGAGCAUCUGAUGUAAAGAUUGUCAGAGAGUCUGGCUUCAUAUAACCACUGUACCACCAUCCUGGGAACCAGAUCUGGGUUUUAACAUUAAAGAUGACUUUGCCCUGAUUGGUGCCAAUCUACUCACCCCAGCGUUCACCCUUGGCAGGAAACAUCUUCCAGGGAGAGAUGUUGAAGAAUCCAUAGUCAAAUCCAAAGUUCAGAUUCAUAUUGGAGAUUGAAACAGAGUCUACAAACAGUGCAGGGUGGAGAGCAGUGCAGUGCCCUCAAAGCUCAUCACUGAGCUAAGGACCCUGGGACUAAACACCUCCCUCUGAAACUGGAACCUGGACUUCCUGACG
ensembl:lncRNA